CCGACCUGUGGCACUCAAACUGUGGGGGCACUUUUUUCUCUCCGGUAAUAAAAAAAAGUGCCGCUACUUUUUGAGUGCCACCGAUCUG
rnacentral:pre_miRNA from 1 species